rnacentral:rRNA from 1 species
UACGUAGGGCGCAAGCGUUAUCCGGAAUUAUUGGGCGUAAAGAGCUCGUAGGCGGUUUGUCGCGUCUGCCGUGAAAGUCCGGGGCUCAACUCCGGAUCUGCGGUGGUACGGGCAGACUAGAGUGAUGUAGGGGAGACUGGAAUUCCUGGUGUAGCGGUGAAUGCGCAGAUAGUCAGGAGGAACACCGGAUGGCGAAGGCAGGUCUCCGUGGGCCACUACUGACGCUGAGAAGCGAAAGCAUGGGGAGCGAACAGG